rnacentral:rRNA from 1 species
UACAGAGGUCCCAAGCGUUGUUCGGAUUCAUUGGGCGUAAAGGGUGUGUAGGUGGCGCCGUAAGUCGGGUGUGAAAUCUCGGGGCUUAACUCCGAAACUGCAUUCGAUACUGCGGUGCUUGAGGACUGGAGAGGAGACUGGAAUUUACGGUGUAGCGGUGAAAUGCGUAGAUAUCGUAAGGAAGACCAGUGGCGAAGGCGGGUCUCUGGACAGUUCCUGACGCUGAGGCACGAAGGUCAGGGGAGCAAACGGG